UACAGAGGGGGCAAGCGUUGUUCGGAAUUACUGGGCGUAAAGGGCGCGUAGGCGGCCUUCUAAGUCGAACGUGAAAUCCCCGGGCUCAACCUGGGAACUGCAUUUGUGACUGCAUGGCUGGAGUGCGGCAGAGGGGGAUGGAAUUCCGCGUGUAGCAGUGAAAUGCGUAGAUAUGCGGAGGAACACCGAUGGCGAAGGCAAUCCCCUGGGCCUGCACUGACGCUCAUGCACGAAAGCGUGGGGAGCAAACAGG
rnacentral:rRNA from 1 species